UACGGGGGGGGCAAGCGUUGUUCGGAAUUACUGGGCGUAAAGGGCUCGUAGGCGGCCAACUAAGUCAGACGUGAAAUCCCUCGGCUUAACCGGGGAACUGCGUCUGAUACUGGAUGGCUUGAGGAGUGGAGGGGGGACUGGAAUACUUGGUGUAGCAGUGAAAUGCGUAGAUAUCAAGUGGAACACCAGUGGCGAAGGCGAGUCCCUGGACACUUCCUGACACUGAGGCACGAAAGCUAGGGGAGCAAACAGG
rnacentral:rRNA from 1 species